rnacentral:rRNA from 1 species
UGGGGAAUAUUGGACAAUGGGCGAAAGCCUGAUCCAGCCAUGCCGCGUGUGUGAAGAAGGUCUUCGGAUUGUAAAGCACUUUAAGUUGGGAGGAAGGGCAUUAACCUAAUACGUUAGUGUUUUGACGUUACCGACAGAAUAAGCACCGGCUAACUCUGUGCCAGCAGCCGCGGUAAUACAGAGGGUGCAAGCGUUAAUCGGAAUUACUGGGCGUAAAGCGCGCGUAGGUGGUUUGUUAAGUUGGAUGUGAAAUCCCCGGGCUCAACCUGGGAACUGCAUUCAAAACUGACUGACUAGAGUAUGGUAGAGGGUGGUGGAAUUUCCUGUGUAGCGGUGAAAUGCGUAGAUAUAGGAAGGAACUCCAGUGGCGAAGGCGACCACCUGGACUAAUACUGACACUGAGGUGCGAAAGCGUGGGGAGCAAACA